GCUUACGGCCACACCACCCUGAACACCGCCGAUCUCGUCCGAUCUCGGAACGCUAAGCAGGGUCGGGCCUGGUUAGUACUGGAUGGAGACCGCCUGGGAAUACCAGGUGCUGUAAGUU
rnacentral:rRNA from 1 species